rnacentral:rRNA from 1 species
GACGAACGCUGGUGGCGUGCCUAAUACAUGCCAGUCGAACGCUUCUUUCCUCCCGAGUGCUUGCACUCAAUUGGAAAGAGGAGUGGCGGACGGGUGAGUAACACGUGGGUAACCUACCCAUCAGAGGGGGAUGACACUUGGAAACAGGUGCUAAUACCGCAUAACAGUUUAUGCCGCAUGGCAUAAGAGUGAAAGGCGCUUUCGGGUGUCGCUGAUGGAUGGACCCGCGGUGCAUUAGCUAGUUGGUGAGGUAACGGCUCACCAAGGCCACGAUGCAUAGCCGACCUGAGAGGGUGAUCGGCCACACUGGGACUGAGACACGGCCCAGACUCCUACGGGAGGCAGCAGUAGGGAAUCUUCGGCAAUGGACGAAAGUCUGACCGAGCAACGCCGCGUGAGUGAAGAAGGUUUUCGGAUCGUAAAACUCUGUUGUUAGAGAAGAACAAGGACGUUAGUAACUGAACGUCCCCUGACGGUAUCUAACCAGAAAGCCACGGCUAACUACGUG